UACGUAGGGUGCGAGCGUUGUCCGGAAUUAUUGGGCGUAAAGAGCUCGUAGGCGGUGUGUCGCGUCGGCCGUGAAAACCUGGGGCUCAACUCUGGGCGUGCGGUCGAUACGGGCAUCACUGGAGUUCGGCAGGGGAGACUGGAAUUCUUGGUGUAGCGGUGAAAUGCGCAGAUAUCAGGAGGAACACCGGUGGCGAAGGCGGGUCUCUGGGCCGAUACUGACGCUGAGGAGCGAAAGCAUGGGUAGCGAACAGG
rnacentral:rRNA from 1 species